rnacentral:rRNA from 1 species
GUGUCAGCCGCCGCGGUAAUACGUAGGGGGCGAGCGUUGUCCGGAUUUAUUGGGCGUAAAACGCUCGUAGGUGGCCACGCCAAGUCGGAUGUGAAAUCUCCCGGCUUAACUGGGAGGGGUCAUUCGAUACUGGCGGGCUCGAGGCAGGUAGGGGGAAGCGGAAUUCCCGGUGUAGUGGUGGAAUGCGUAGAUAUCGGGAGGAACACCAGUGGCGAAGGCGGCUUCCUGGACCUGUUCUGACACUGAGGAGCGAAAGCGUGGGGAGCGAUCCGGAUUAGAUACCCCCGUAGUCC